rnacentral:rRNA from 1 species
UGGGGAAUAUUGCACAAUGGGCGCAACCCUGAUCCAGCCAUCCCGCGUGUGCGAUGAAGGCCUUCGGGUUGUAAAGCACUUUUGGCAGGAAAGAAACGUCGCGGGUUAAUACCCCGCGAAACUGACGGUACCUGCAGAAUAAGCACCGGCUAACUACGUGCCAGCAGCCGCGGUAAUACGUAGGGUGCAAGCGUUAAUCGGAAUUACUGGGCGUAAAGCGUGCGCAGGCGGUUCGGAAAGAAAGAUGUGAAAUCCCAGAGCUUAACUUUGGAACUGCAUUUUUAACUACCGGGCUAGAGUGUGUCAGAGGGAGGUGGAAUUCCGCGUGUAGCAGUGAAAUGCGUAGAUAUGCGGAGGAACACCGAUGGCGAAGGCAGCCUCCUGGGAUAACACUGACGCUCAUGCACGAAAGCGUGGGGAGCAAACAGGAUUAGAUACCCUGGUAGUCCACGCCCUAAACGAUGUCAACUAGCUGUUGGGGCCUUCGGGCCUUGGUAGCGCAGCUAACGCGUGAAGUUGACCGCCUGGGGAGUACGGUCGGCAAGAUUAAAACUC